rfam:Ailuropoda melanoleuca scaffold1073_82, whole genome shotgun sequence.
CCUGAGUCUAGAGGAAGCAUUUCUACACACACCAGACUAUUGAAAUCGGCGUGUGGAAAUGCCUUCGCUACAUUCUUA